rnacentral:rRNA from 1 species
UACGAAGGGGGCUAGCGUUGCUCGGAAUCACUGGGCGUAAAGGGUGCGUAGGCGGGUCUUUAAGUCAGGGGUGAAAUCCUGGAGCUCAACUCCAGAACUGCCUUUGAUACUGGGAAUCUCGAGUCCGGGAGAGGUGAGUGGAACUGCGAGUGUAGAGGUGAAAUUCGUAGAUAUUCGCAAGAACACCAGUGGCGAAGGCGGCUCACUGGCCCGGUACUGACGCUGAGGCACGAAAGCGUGGGGAGCAAACAGG